GUUUUCUUAGGAACAGACUAUUAAAACCCAAAACUGGAAAGGAAAUUUCAGAAAGAAAUGACUGUGACCCAAUACCUGGAAAGGAAAUUUCAGAAAAAAAUGAUUGCGAUCCAAAACCUGGAAAGGGAAUUUCAGGAACAAACUGUUAUGAAUCAGCACCUGGAAAGGGAAUUUCAGGAACAAACUAUUAGGACCCGAAACCUGGAAAGGGAAUGUCAG